AGGGAGAACAGGGAAUAUGAAGGCAGAGUUUGGGGUGAUACAGCAGAAGCCAAGGAAUGACAAAUCCUGGAAAGCAGCAUGGAACAGGUUUUCCCUCACAGCGCUUAGAAGGAACCAAUCCUGCCAACAACUUGAUCUUGGACUUCUAUCUUCUAGAACUUUAAUUUGCAGGUUCUCCCUCUGCCUGCCACCCCACCCAGCAAGGAGGAGAGGAAGUGUUGAGAAGGGAAGAGAUGAGUCCUGGCCCUGUCACUUCUUAGGGGUGUGCUUUUGAACAACCUGCUCACCAUGUAUGAACUUCACUCUUCUUGUUUAUAAAAUGAGGACAAUGA
rnacentral:lncRNA from 1 species